AUGACAUGCAAGUAAUGAAAAACGGUAAAGCAUACAAAUAUUAAAAGCGGUAAAAAGAAGCUGAAAUUACAUAAAAUGAAACUGGAAUUAAAUUGAACUUGAAAAUGGCAGAAAGCUUGUUCCUGAUCCAAAGUAAAAACGUUACAGAAAUAAAAAAAGGUGUGACGAUCCCUCGAUGUGAGUUAUUGUCACUUUACAGGUAAUUUUCUUCCUGAAACUAAGAAGAAAUUUUGACAGAACUUCCACGCGAAUUCGAUGGAUGCUUAACACUUCAAAAAUGGCCUUAUAUAGAGAGUUCAGACCCUUGGGAACCACUUGGACGUGCAUACCUAGUGGAGGAAGUGGCGGUUGAGAAAAC
rnacentral:lncRNA from 1 species